rnacentral:rRNA from 1 species
UACGUAGGGGGCAAGCGUUUGUCCGGAAUUAUUGGGCGUAAAGCGCGCGCAGGCGGCCGAUUAAGUCUGGUGUUUAACCCCGGGGCUCAACCCCGGGUCGCACUGGAAACUGGUUGGCUUGAGUACAGAAGAGGAAAGUGGAAUUCCACGUGUAGCGGUGAAAUGCGUAGAGAUGUGGAGGAACACCAGUGGCGAAGGCGACUUUCUGGGCUGUAACUGACGCUGAGGCGCGAAAGCGUGGGGAGCAAACAGG